rnacentral:rRNA from 1 species
UUAGCUAGUUGGUGGGGUAAAGGCUUACCAAGGCAAUGAUGCGUAGCCGAACUGAGAGGUUGAUCGGCCACAUUGGGACUGAGACACGGCCCAAACUCCUACGGGAGGCAGCAGUAGGGAAUCUUCCACAAUGGGCGAAAGCCUGAUGGAGCAACGCCGCGUGGGUGAAGAAGGUCUUCGGAUCGUAAAACCCUGUUGUUAGAGAAGAAAGUGCGUGAGAGUAACUGUUCACGUUUCGACGGUAUCUAACCAGAAAGCCACGGCUAACUACGUGCCAGCAGCCGCGGUAAUACGUAGGUGGCAAGCGUUAUCCGGAUUUAUUGGGCGUAAAGGGAACGCAGGCGGUCUUUUAAGUCUGAUGUGAAAGCCUUCGGCUUAACCGGAGUAGUGCAUUGGAAACUGGGAGACUUGAGUGCAGAAGAGGAGAGUGGAACUCCAUGUGUAGCGGUGAAAUGCGUAGAUAUAUGGAAGAACACCAGUGGCGAAAGCGGCUCUCUGGUCUGUAACUGACGCUGAGGUUCGAAAGCGUGGGUAGCAAACAGGAUUAGAUACCCUGGUAGUCCACGCCGUAAACGAUGAAUGCUAAGUGUUGGAGGGUUUCCGCCCUUCA